rnacentral:rRNA from 1 species
GUGGGGAAUCUUGCGCAAUGGGCGAAAGCCUGACGCAGCCAUGCCGCGUGGAUGAUGAAGGUCUUAGGAUUGUAAAAUCCUUUCACCGGUGAAGAUAAUGACUGUAGCCGGAGAAGAAGCCCCGGCUAACUUCGUGCCAGCAGCCGCGGUAAUACGAAGGGGGCUAGCGUUGCUCGGAUUUACUGGGCGUAAAGGGCGCGUAGGCGGACAUUUAAGUCAGGGGUGAAAUCCCGGGGCUCAACCUCGGAUCUGCCUUUGAUACUGGGUGUCUUGAGUAUGAGAGAGGUGUGUGGAACUCCGAGUGUAGAGGUGAAAUUCGUAGAUAUUCGGAAGAACACCAGUGGCGAAGGCGACUCACUGGCUCAUUACUGACGCUGAGGCUCGAAAGCGUGGGGAGCAAACAGGAUUAGAUACCCUAGUAGUCC